rnacentral:lncRNA from 10 species
GUACAUUUUAAUCAAAAAGCAAGCAUUAAACACAUAUCAAAAGGAUAAAGAGAGACAUGAAAGUGCAAAUGGGCUGUGAAACCUGUUUUGGGUGGAAAGCCAGUCUCAUGGGGGCAACUAGUGAGUGUUGGGCUGGGGAGGGAGUUGGUGGCUUGUAGGCAUGUGAGCAGCAAGUGCCAGUCUAAUCUUUUUUCUAUCUGGGAACCUUGUUUGCCUCAUGAGUCAUCAACAUUUGUUAUUACUAAAAUAGUGCCCAAGGUAGACAUGUGAAGAUCUCCAUCUCACUUCUUUUUCUUUUCAAUUUCAUACUCUCCCUUGGAUGAUCUGAUUCUCUUCCAUUGCACCUUUGGGAGGUGAUUAGGUCAUGAGGGUGGAGUCCUCAUGGAUGAGAUUAGUGCCUUCAUGAAAGAGACCUCAGAGAGCUGCCUUGUCCUUUCCACCAUGUGAGGACACUGCAAGAGGAUGCUGUCUAUGAAUCAGAAAGCAGUCCUUCACCAAACACCAAAUUUGCUGGCCACUUGAUCAUGAACUUCUCAUCCUCCAGAACUGUUUGGGGACUGGAACAGAUCCACUACUGGCCUCCUUGCUCCUCAACUUGUAGACAGCCUGCCUAUCGUGGGACUUCACCUUGUGAUCCUGAGACCUCCAGCCUUUUAUCGGGGAAACUGUGAAUUGGGGAAAGGGAAAUCAUCAGACCUUUCAAGGAUUACUGGACACUGGCUCUGAGCUGACAUUAAUUCCUGGGGACCCAAAAGAUGUCACACUGGUUUAUUACACUGAUGACAUUAUGCUGAUUGGACCCAGUGAGCAAGAAGUAGCAAACACACUGGACUUACUGGACUUCCAGUAUGAUGCUGAAAGGGUUUGGUGAGAUGACAAAACAUUUUUGAAAGAAAUGAAUGAAGACCUAUAUGUAUGAAGGAGUGCACCAUGGUCAUGUUUUUCAAGGCAAUCCCUACUCACUGGAGCUACCACUGCUGCAAUUGUUAUAAUAUACAUUUGUUUUGCCUCACUAUGAAUCUGUUAUUAAUAGAAUUAAACAAUAUGUAUACUUUUGUGUCUGACUUAUUUCACUGAAAAUAAAGUUUUUGAGAUGCAUCCAUGCUAUGUAUUAUAUCAGUAUUUUAUUUUGCUUAAUUGAUAAGUAGUGCCCAUUG